AAUAGAUACCCGGGUAGUCCUGGCCGUAAACCAUGGGCACUGGGUAGGGGGCUCGCCGAUGGGCCCCCUGCCGCAGCGAAAGCGUGAAGUGCCCCGCCUGGGGAGUAUGGCCGCAAGGCUGAAACUCAAAGGAAUUGACGGGGGCUCACACAAGCGGUGGAGCAUGUGGCUUAAUUCGAGGCUACGCGAAGAACCUUAUCCCGGGCUUGACAUGCACGGAUUAGCAUCCUGAAAGGGGUGUGACGCCUUCGGGUGGAACGUGCACAGGUGCUGCAUGGCUGUCGUCAGCUCGUGCCGUGAGGUGUUGGGUUAAGUCCCGUAACGAGCGAAACCCCUGCGACCAGUUGCCAUCAGGUCAUGCUGGGGACUCUGGUCGGACCGCCGGCGUCAAGCCGGAGGAAGGCGGGGAUGACGUCAAGUCAUCAUGGCCCUUAUGCCCGGGGCUGCACACGUGCUACAAGUGGGCCGGACAGAGCGUCGCCACUGCGCGAGCAGGAGCCGAAUCGCACGAAACCGGCCCCG
rnacentral:rRNA from 1 species